rnacentral:rRNA from 1 species
GCAUAUCAAUAAGCGGAGGAAAAGAAACCAACAGGGGAUUGCCUUAGUAACGGCGAGUGAAGCGGCAACAGCUCAAAUUUGAAAUCUGGCCUCUUUGGGGUCCGAGUUGUAAUUUGGAGAGGAUGUUUCGGGUACGGUCCGGGCUUAAAUUUCUUGGAACAGAAUGUCACAGAGGGUGAGAAUCCCGUCUGGAGUCUGCGACACGGCCUAUGUGAAACUCCUUCGACGAGUCGAGUUGUUUGGGAAUGCAGCUCUAAAUGGGUGGUAAAUUUCAUCUAAAGCUAAAUAUUGGCCAGAGACCGAUAGCGCACAAGUAGAGUGAUCGAAAGAUGAAAAGCACUUUGAAAAGAGAGUUAAACAGUACGUGAAAUUGUUGAAAGGGAAGCGCUGGCAACCAGACUUGCGCGUCGGGGUUCCCCCUGGCUUCUGCCUGGGCUACUCCCCGGCGCUCAGGCCAACAUCGGUUUUGGGGGUCGGUUAAAGGCCCCGGGAAUGUACCUACCCUUCGGGGUAGACUUAUAGCCCGGGGUGUCAUGCGGCCACCCGGGACCGAGGAACGCGCUUCGGCUCGGAUGUUGGCGUAAUGGUUGUCAGCGACCCGUCUUGAAACACGGACCAAGGAGUCUAACAUCUAUGCGAGUGUUAGGGUGUCAAACCCUUACGCGGAAUGAAAGUGAACGGAGGUAGGAAGCCGUAACACGCUGCACUAUCGACCGAUCCUGAAGUUUACGGAUGGAUUUGAGUAAGAGCAUAGCUGUUGGGACCCGAAAGAUGGUGAACUAUGCCUGAAUAGGGUGAAGCCAGAGGAAACUCUGGUGGAGGCUCGCAGCGGUUCUGACGUGCAAAUCGAUCGUCAAAUUUGGGGUAUAGGGGGCGAAAGACUAAUCGAACCAUCUGGUAGCUGGUUCCUGCGA